UGCAAUGUGGUCCUCCACUUCAGAGAAUGGGGUUAAAAAUUGGAACAAGUUGUUGUACUUCAGGGAAGAGAGAAAGGGUGGAAUGGGGGCCUCCACUUCAG